rnacentral:rRNA from 1 species
GACGGAGGGGGCUAGCGUUGUUCGGAAUGACUGGGCGUAAAGGGCGCGUAGGCGGUCUGUUAAGUGAGGCGUGAAAGCCCUGGGCUUAACCCAGGAGGUGCGUUUCAUACUGAUAGGCUAGAGUGUGAGAGAGGAAAGUGGAAUUCCUAGUGUAGAGGUGAAAUUCGUAGAUAUUAGGAAGAACACCAGAGGCGAAGGCGGCUUUCUGGCUCGCAACUGACGCUGAGGCGCGAAAGCGUGGGGAGCAAACAGG